AGAUUGAACGCUGGCGGCAGGCCUAACACAUGCAAGUCGAGCGGUAGAGAGGUGCUUGCAUCUCUUGAGAGCGGCGGACGGGUGAGUAAUGCCUAGGAAUCUGCCUAGUGGUGGGGGAUAACGUUCGGAAACGGACGCUAAUACCGCAUACGUCCUACGGGAGAAAGCGGGGGACCUUCGGGCCUCGCGCCAUUAGAUGAGCCUAGGUCGGAUUAGCUAGUUGGUGAGGUAAUGGCUCACCAAGGCGACGAUCCGUAACUGGUCUGAGAGGAUGAUCAGUCACACUGGAACUGAGACACGGUCCAGACUCCUACGGGAGGCAGCAGUGGGGAAUAUUGGACAAUGGG
rnacentral:rRNA from 1 species